GAGACAUUGCAACAGCUCCCGCAGAACGUUGAGGCCGACAGGCGAAAACUGCAUAAAAUGGAAAAUCGUCAUUAUCAACAUCGGGAGCCUGAUGUGGGACUCGAUCUUGGUCUCCAGGACCAGCCCCUGGGCUGAAGGCAGCACUAAACCAUUGAGUCACCCAGGGAUCCCAAGAUCCUUUAAGUUUUUAAUUAAAAGUGGAGGCUAAAAUGAGUCCGCCCAGGGAGCAGAGGUACCAACUGGACAGCCACCAAAGGAAAGAAAUAGGUCGGAAAACAGGGCUGUGUGUGAAACUCCAGUUUCCAAAGUUACUUUGAAAAAGAAAUGAAUUGCACUUAUUAUUAUUA